AAAGUUAGACAAUUCUCCAUAGCUGUGAGUUGACGACGAUCAUCGUCGUAUAUUUUUAUAUUGUUAUGAUUAUUAUUUUACUUGUUUUCUAUAUUAAAGUAUUUAUUGAAAAAUUUGGGAAACACAACCUUUGAAUUUUAUCUCGAUUUCGUCAAUUAUUUAAUUUAACGGUCGUUGUUAUAUAAUAUGUUAUUAUUUUGAUUUACAUAUGAGCCACAUUAUUUAAAUCUUGAAUUGUUAUGCGAUUGAUUAUGUUUUUCAUGAAUUACGAUGAAAUGAUUUUUAAUACGUGUUUGUGUUAUAAUUAUUAAAUCGUUAACUGCGUUAGAUGCACCUAGUUACCACGUGUUGAUUAGGGAGAGUUAACCGUUAGAUGGAGCCGCCCUUACGAGAGAAGUCAUCCGUAGGAGGAGAGGGCUAUCAACAAGAUGUAAGCUCCAUAAUUGAUACAUGAUGAUGCGUUGCGGAAUUGAGAGGAGAGGGCCAUUCGUUAGAUGGAGCCACCCCUAAGGAAAAGGCCACCCUUAGGAGGAAAAUGCUAUUAAUGAGAUAAAGCCACCUCUUGGUUCUAAAAAUUUAUAUUGUUACUUGUUUGAUUUUUAUGAUGAUUUUAAGAUUGUUCAUUUUGAUUUCAUUUCGUUAUUCACUGGAUUUUUAAUAUUUAUGUCCAACGAUUAAACAGUUAUUUGUGCAUUUUGUGUUUCCCUUCUAAUUGAUGGAGGUUGUAGUCUCCUCACUAAGUCUUUGUGACUUACCCCUUUAUGUUGCUUAUUUUUUUCAGAUUCGCAAGCAGCUGAGUAUGAAUCUAUUAUUUGAUUCAAGUCUCAACAUACUUCUUUUUUGGUAGGCCUCUUUGAUCGAGGACCAUUUUUGUAACAUUUGUUGAGUCUAUGUAAAUUGCAGCUAUUUUGGAGUCUAGAAAGUCUAUUUAGUUUUUUUUUUUUGGAAGUGUAUUAAGCAAUUUGAUUAUGUUAUUUGAAUUAUGACUGGAUUGAAAGUUGAACAGGGA
rnacentral:lncRNA from 1 species